rnacentral:tRNA from 3 species
GCGGGCGUGGCGGAAUGGUAGACGCAUGAGACUUAAAAUCUCUGGGGCGAAAGCCCGUGCCGGUUCAAGUCCGGCCGCCCGUACCA